AUUGAACGCUGGCGGCAUGCCUUACACAUGCAAGUCGAACGGUAACAGGUCUUCGGAUGCUGACGAGUGGCGAACGGGUGAGUAAUACAUCGGAACGUGCCCGAUCGUGGGGGAUAACGGAGCGAAAGCUUUGCUAAUACCGCAUACGAUCUACGGAUGAAAGCAGGGGACCGCAGGGCCUUGCGCGGACGGAGCGGCCG
rnacentral:rRNA from 1 species